GCUCUGCGGUUGUGGGGUGGUGCUGACACCACUGGGGCAUAGGUUAAUACAGAGGCCCUGCACCCCCACAGGGAAUGCCCAGCCUUGGAAGGGCCAGUACAAGAGAAAGGCCCUGAAGCUUCAGCCUCACCAGCUCCAUCUCUGGAACCCAGGCUCGAGGACAAACGCCAGUUUGGUGCUACUUGAAGAGCUCUCUCCUUUGUUGAUGCUGUCAUUACUGACUCACUGUGAAAAGUUCGAUUGCAGACUAGGAGGAGUGGAGAGCUGGACUGGAAUGAGAUCGUCAAAGAUCUUCUGCUCAGAGAGAAUUCAGGGGCCCCCGGAAGAGGGAGCUCAGACUCGAAGCUUGGGAGACAGAGGACCCGCAUACACGACUCUCUGGGCUCCCCACGCCAUUGCAGUCCAGGCCUGAAACACCUGC
rnacentral:lncRNA from 1 species